rnacentral:rRNA from 1 species
ACGCGCGGAACCUUACCAGGUCUUGACAUCCUCUGACAACCCUAGAGAUAGGGCGUUCCCCUUCGGGGGACAGAGUGACAGGUGGUGCAUGGUUGUCGUCAGCUCGUGUCGUGAGAUGUUGGGUUAAGUCCCGCAACGAGCGCAACCCUUGAUCUUAGUUGCCAGCAUUAAGUUGGGCACUCUAAGGUGACUGCCGGUGACAAACCGGAGGAAGGUGGGGAUGACGUCAAAUCAUCAUGCCCCUUAUGACCUGGGCUACACACGUGCUACAAUGGACGGUACAAACGGUUGCCAACCCGCGAGGGGGAGCUAAUCCGAUAAAACCGUUCUCAGUUCGGAUUGCAGGCUGCAACUCGCCUGCAUGAAGCUGGAAUCGCUAGUAAUCGCGGAUCAGCAUGCCGCGGUGAAUACGUUCCCGGGCCUUGCACUCACCGCCCGU